AACAAGCGGCCAGUACCCUCAUCGUCCGGCACGCAAGUGGAACGUCCGCAGAACGGCGACAGAUCCCAAGUUUUUCCUGGCUCGAUGGUUGCGCAUUUCGUCGAUGCGAAGCACAUGCCAGGGAAAUCUACAAUAAAACAUGUGAAUCAGCAUGACGAUGCAAAAGUAAAAUCUCAUUUUACGACGGACAACAACUCGUGCAGCUUGCAUUUUCCUCGACGAGUGCAUUGUCCACAUACAGAGUUACGCACCCGUGAAAGGUGUCGUUACUUUCUAAUGUGCCUAGAUACACGCGCGUUUCUAGCCGUACUGUUUACACGAUACGCGUCUUCUGAUGUACCCAUACAGAGAAGCGGGUGAAAAAGGAAUUCUACUGUGUAACACGUCCUAAUGUGUUAGAAGCACAAGGGAGAAGUUUCGUCGGCGGUGAUUCGCGGACUGGAAACUCCAAGGAGAAACACUUUCACUGUCACGACUCUUGUGCAAUUAUCGCGAACACUCGUUGAAUUUAUCGUCGUGCUUCCAACAUUCUUCCUAGUUUUAUUUUACGACUCGCAAGCUCGCGAUUACGAAAAUACCAAGCAUUAUGUAAGGAUAUCGAGGGGCCUUAGAUGGCUGUAGAUUAACAACGAUACCAGCGAAACGAACGUCAUCGCGUAUCAUUGGGAAGAAAACCACUUCAGGAAGCGGUAGAACAUGAUUCAUAACGGACUUGUACACUUUCACCGACAUUAAGAUUCGUCUGCUUGCAAGGGUCAGCUUUCGUAUCAGUACGCUGUUUCUUUUUUCGAAGGAGUCAAGUCUUCAUGGCGCACCUCUUCUAGCACGUCCAAGAUUCGCUCUCAAACGUUAAAGUAUUCCUCUGAAUGUCUAUUCUUCUGAAAAGCGGAAGUUUAUUGGUAUACGAUCUCAACAAUGACCAUUACUAACAAUUAGCCAUCAGUACGUAAGAAUUAAUAUUGGAAAUAGAAACUAAAGACGCGUUCGAGUCUCCUGAUUGUACGAAUACAAGCAUCUCAUUGCGAUGCAUAUAUGGACGCUACUAAUUAACCGAGAGUUCGUGAUAAGGGAUAAUUAUACCUCUCAUCGUUUAUUUAUCCGAUUAACAAAUAGCUAAGGCUGUCAAUCCUUUUGAUAAGCAUCCGAUGUUUUCAUCUAAUGACGUGUUAUUUGUUGUGACGCAGUCGCGCGUGUCGCGUUUAGAAAGACUUCUGUUACGGGGAAUUAAUCAGGGGAUAAAGUAGCCUCGAGCCUAUCGUGUAAUCACGAAAUUACACGACACGGGACAUUCGAAGGGUAAACGAUUCGCUUGAAACUAUACAAUCAGGAACGUGCAAUCGUCUUGAUUCGUGGCCUCGCUUUCGUCACCGACCACCCAGCCCAGGGUUCUACUUUCUGCGAUCAUCCUGACCCGAAACGGGUACGAUACGGCCAGACCGUGUUCGUGACUGAGAAACUUAACUUGCCUCAGUUAACUUGGAUAGCCAAGUUAAAUGAAUGUCGUUGUAACAUUCUGUUUAUUUGAAGACGAACAUCAUAGUUAUUUGGACAGAUUACGUGUAUGCUGACGAUCAAAAUCUGAAAGUGGUCUGAUCUAAAAGAUUGCCAACGAAACCUGUAAUAUUUGCCACUAAAGGAAACCUUCAUGUUAGUUUGAAUUGUCUUAAUAAUAAGAAUGUACCAAUUGUUUG